rnacentral:rRNA from 1 species
CACGGGGGGGGCAAGCGUUGUUCGGAAUUACUGGGCGUAAAGGGCGUGUAGGCGGUUAGGUAAGUGGAAUGUGAAAUCCCUCGGCUCACCCGAGGACCUGCAUCCCAAACUGCCUGACUUGAGUAUGGGAGAGGAUGAGGGAAUUCCUGGUGUAGCGGUGAAAUGCGUAGAUAUCAGGAGGAACACCGGUGGCGAAGGCGCUCAUCUGGCCCAAUACUGACGCUGAGGCGCGAAAGCUAGGGGAGCAAACGGG